rnacentral:rRNA from 1 species
UUUCCGGUUGAUCCCGCCGGACCUGACUACUAUCGGAUUGAUACUAAGCCAUGCGAGUCUUUGCAGUAAUGCAAGGCAGACGGCUCAGUAACACGUAGUCAACUUACCCUAUGGACGAGGAUAAUCUCGGGAAACUGAGCAUAAUACUCGAUAGAUCAUAAUGCCUGGAAUGGUUUAUGAUUAAAAUGAUUCGUCGCCAUAGGAUGGGACUGCGGCCUAUCAGCUUGUUGGUGAGGUAAUGGCCCACCAAGGCGAUUACAGGUACGGGCUCUGAGAGGAGAAGCCCGGAGAUGGGUACUGAGACAAGGACCCAGGCCCUAUGGGGCGCAGCAGGCGAGAAAACUUUGCAAUGUGCGAAAGCACGACAAGGUUAAUCCGAGUGAUUUCUGCUAAAGAAAUCUUUUGCAAGUCAUAAAACCACUAGUGAAUAAGGGGUGGGCAAGUUCUGGUGUCAGCCGCCGCGGUAAAACCAGCACCUCAAGUGGUCAGGAGGAUUAUUGGGCCUAAAGCAUCCGUAGCCGGCUCUGUAAGUUUUCGGUUAAAUCCAUGUGCUCAACGCAUGGACUGCCGAAAAUACUGCAUAGCUAGGGAGU